rnacentral:lncRNA from 1 species
GGCCUCCGGCGCCUCACCAUGGCUGAAUUGGAGCAGCAGAGUCCCUCAGUUCCGAAGUAGUCCUGGGAACCUGGCUUCAGCGCCCGCCUACCGUAAGGUGGGGCCUGCCAGGGUCAGCGCCCGGACUCUGGUUGUUGUCUCCAGGCACAAGAGGAAACAGCAUCAGAUGACGUGGGCGGGUUGCACCGCUCCCCUCCCGGAGGCUCCCGGCAGCUGUGCACGGGAGUUCCCGGGGAGGUUGGCCAAGAGAGGUAGAAGGCGGGCCAGGUAGUUCCUCCCGCCUCCCCCGCCCCCAAACACACCGGCACAACUCUAAGCCUUACGUUAGGUGCUCCUCUGCUCACGGUCGAAGUGGAUCUCUGCAAAGACAGAGAAGAAUCCUUGUGUCUGAAUUCUCAUCAGCCAAAUCACCCUUGUGAUUGCCUCAAAACCAAAAUCUGGUCUUGGCUACGAAGUUGCAGAGCUCUUUAAGAUUCGUUCUUUCCAUAUAUGAAAUAACAAGAUACCCUGCUUUUCAGUGCUAGAGGGGGAUGUGAACAGAGAAGUUUGGGACUUCAAAAUCGGCUUACACUUGAAGCUCUUGGAACCAUUUAAAAUUAU